GACGAACCGUGCGAACGUUAUUCGGAAUCACUGGGCUUAAAGCGCGUGUAGGCGGGCCGCCGCGUCGGCUGCUGAAAUCCCCCGGCUCAACCGGGGAACGGGCACCGGUACGGGCGGCCUGGAGGGGGGUAGGGGGGCCUGGAACUUCCGGUGGAGCGGUGAAAUGCGUUGAGAUCGGAAGGAACGCCCGUGGCGAAAGCGAGGCCCUGGACCCUUACUGACGCUGAGACGCGAAAGCCAGGGGAGCGAACGGG
rnacentral:rRNA from 1 species